GUCCACGCCGUAAACGAUGAUAACUAGCUGUCCGGGCACUUGGUGCUUGGGUGGCGCAGCUAACGCAUUAAGUUAUCCGCCUGGGGAGUACGGCCGCAAGGUUAAAACUCAAAGAAAUUGACGGGGGCCUGCACAAGCGGUGGAGCAUGUGGUUUAAUUCGAAGCAACGCGCAGAACCUUACCAACGUUUGACAUCCCCAGUAUGGUUAGUGGAGACACUUUCCUUCAGUUCGGCUGGCUGGGUGACAGGUGCUGCAUGGCUGUCGU
rnacentral:rRNA from 1 species